UUUGUUCAGUUCCUAACUAUUCGAAUUGAAUUGUUUAAAAUAUUUUUCGCUGCUAAUUGUAGAGAAAAGAUUAUUACACUAAGCUGAAAAUAUCAAUAAAAUAUAGAAAAAUAUCCACGAAAAAGUAAAAUAAAAGACAUUUUGUUUGCUGGAAUAAAAAACUCGAAAAGAUGUUGUUUUAUUUAAACGCAAUAAUCUGUAAAAUAAAAGAAAAUGAAUUAAUAAAAUAAAAUUAACAAAUAAAUAAAUAAAUUAAUAAAAGCUCAAGCCAAUAAAAAAGCAAAUCGCACAAACGAUUGUUAUUAUUGACUCAGAAUUCAUUUUUCGCUUCAAAAACCGCUGAAAUUUCCAAAAUUUAGUUUUUACCCACUGUAAAAACAGAUUAUAUUUCUGAAAAUAAAAAAAAAAAACAUAGCAAUCAAUCAAUCAAAUAAAUAAAAAAUAUAAAUAAAAAAAAAUAAAUAUCAAAAUUCAAUAAAUUACCGAAAAAUGGACCCUCCUGCGAAUCCUGACCACCCUCGUCCUGGUCACUAUGACAUUUUGUUGCGGGAAAUAUAUUAUUCCCAAGUUCGGCUUUAAAAAAAAGAAAAAAGAACAAUAUAUGUCAAGAUUUUCAAAAAAUUAAAUUCAAGAAAUAUAAAAAUCGGGGCUUACCAGGACAUGUGGCCCAUCCCCGAUUAUUUCGAUGGGCUGCAAUGGUAUCGGCAUUCUUACCAGAUUAUUGGGCCUCCCAAACCAGGUCCUUGGAUUGGACCACUCCCUGCCGCGGAACUAUAUUAAAAAUUAAAUAUAAUUAAAAACCAUUGUUUCAACAUUAGAAAUAAUUUAACUUACAUGUCUUAUAAAAGCUCUGUCCAUUAAAUUUUCCAUAAUUUAAAUUCUUUUA